rnacentral:rRNA from 1 species
UACGUAGGUGGCGAGCGUUGUCCGGAUUUAUUGGGCGUAAAGCGAGCGCGGGCGGUUCCUUAAGUCUGAUGUGAAAGCCCACGGCUCAACCGUGGAAGGUCAUUGGAAACUGGGGAACUUGAGUGCAGAAGAGGAGAGUGGAAUUCCAUGUGUAGCGGUGAAAUGCGUAGAUAUAUGGAGGAACACCAGUGGCGAAGGCGACUCUCUGGUCUGUAACUGACGCUGAGGCUCGAAAGCGUGGGGAGCAAACAGGAUUAGAUA